CCACAGAUGUUCUGUCCUAUCAGCCAAUGCGCGAACGCGGGCUCCCCCAUCAGCGAUCUGGUGCACAUGGAAGCACACCAACGCAACGGACGGCGCGCCUGCGUAUACGAAAUGAUUUAUAUCGCUCGCUUCAGUAGGCAAAAUGAAUCAGAAAUCCAAAAAGGUCAUUUUCUCAUUGGUGCGAAUAUUCAACCACGUGCUGACAAUUAUAGAAGCCGCAGGAAUUACAACGAUGGAAGUACGCGCUACGAAGACACUCAAUGGAAAUAACGAGGUUGGCGGCACAACUAUCUACGACAUGGUCAAGUUUUACAACACAAGUGAGCCAACAUGGACCUAUAUGACUACGAGUGCAAAUCCACUUACAUGUGAAGUGAACGUCCUGCAAAACAUAAAUAGCACGCAUGUUACAUUCCACAAGAGCUAUUUCAGUCAGGAAACACAUCAAAAAAUGACCAUGGGUUACUCGGGAUACUUUACCAAGUGGUACACAGAUCGAGAAGACGAAAUUUUUAAUCAAGUCGUGCUUUGCAAUACAG